GAGGGCUUUACUGUCUCUUACUUCCAAUCCGUGAAAUUGACCUUCCCGUGAAGAGGCGGGAAUACGACAAUAAGACGAGAAGACCCUGUGGAGCUUUAAUUAAUCGACCCAAACUUAAUAACCAACCGACGAACAAGACCUCUGCAUGGGCCGACAAUUUAGGUUGGGGUGACCUCGGAGAAUAAAACAACCUCCGAGUGAUUUAAAUGACUAGACUAACCAGUCAAAGUAUUACAUCACUUAUUGAUCCAAAGAUCAACGGAACAAGUUACCCCAGGGAUAACAGCGCAAUCCUAUUUCAGAGUCCAUAUCGACAAUAGGGUUUACGACCUCGAUGUUGGAUCAGGACAUCCCGAUGGUGCAGCAGCUAUCAAAGGUUCGUUUGUUC
rnacentral:rRNA from 1 species